GCGAGCCGUAUACUCUGAGAGGAGUACGUACGGUUCUGGAGGGAGUCUUUGGAAACCUACCGCGUACACGCGGCAAGGCGCCGGGGGCUUACCUCAU
rnacentral:ncRNA from 1 species